AGCUCCAAUAGCGUAUAUUAAAGUUGUUGCAGUUAAAAAGCUCGUAGUUGGAUUUCUGUUGGGAGCCGCCAGUCCGCUCUUCGGAGUGUGCACUUGGUAAAUCUCAGCAUCCUCCUGGUAUUGCGUGUUUCAUCUCACGGUGAGGUGCGUAUUUCCAGGACUUUUACUUUGAGAAAAUUAGAGUGUUUCAAGCAGGCUUGUGCCUUGAAUACUGCAGCAUGGAAUAAUAAGAUAGGAUUUCGGUUCUAUUUUGUUGGUUUCUAGGACUGAAGUAAUGAUUAAUAGGGACAGUUGGGGGCAUUCGUAUUUAACUGUCAGAGGUGAAAUUCUUAGAUUUGUUAAAGACGAACUACUGCGAAAGCAUUUGCCAAGGAUGUUUUCAUUAAUCAAGAACGAAAGU
rnacentral:rRNA from 1 species